UGGGGAAUAUUGCACAAUGGGGGAAACCCUGAUGCAGCGACGCCGCGUGAACGAAGAAGGUAUUCGUAUCGUAAAGUUCUGUCCUAUGGGAAGAUAAUGACAGUACCAUAGCAGCAAGCUCCGGCUAAAUACGUGCCAGCAGCCGCGGUAAUACGUAUGGAGCGAGCGUUGUCCGGAAUUAUUGGGCGUAAAGGGUACGCAGGCGGUUUAAUAAGUCGAAUGUUAAAGAUCGGGGCUCAACCCCGCAAAGCAUUGGAAACUGAUAAACUUGAGUAGUGGAGAGGAAAGUGGAAUUCCUAGUGUAGUGGUGAAAUACGUAGAUAUUAGGAGGAAUACCAGUAGCGAAGGCGACUUUCUGGACACAAACUGACGCUGAGGUACGAAAGCGUGGGGAGCAAACAGG
rnacentral:rRNA from 1 species